CAGUCGCCGCGGUAAUACGAAGGGGGCUAGCGUUGCUCGGAAUCACUGGGCGUAAAGGGUGCGUAGGCGGGUUUCUAAGUCAGGGGUGAAAUCCUGGAGCUCAACUCCAGAACUGCCCUUGAUACUGGAAGUCUUGAGUAUGAGAGAGGUAAGUGGAAUUCCGAGUGUAGAGGUGAAAUUCGUAGAUAUUCGGAAGAACACCAGUGGCGAAGGCGGCUUACUGGCUCAUUCUGACGCUGAGGUGCGAAAGCGUGGGGAGCAAACAGGAUUAGAUACCCCUGUAGUCCCUGUCUCUUAUACA
rnacentral:rRNA from 1 species